GCUGAAAUUACAAAUGGGGGGGAAAAACAAACUCCCCCAAUAACAGGAAUCGGCAGAGGCAGCUCUGACACAGCCUCGUGAAGCCUGUUCUUCCAACCUACUUCUGCUGCGUCAUUUGUCAAUUUGUCAUGCCCAGAUGUCAAUGAGUCACAGCUAGUAGCUUCAACUGACCUAUUUUUGCCUUUGUCACGCCGCAGGAUCCAUAUGAACGACGCGAAAGGGUUCAAUGCAGUUCUGUGACUGUCAUUGCUAAGGAUAAAUGUUCCAUGUGGUACUAAGGAAGACUGCCACCUGAAGUUUGAAAGAAGGAUCACACCUGACCAGAGGCAUACCUAAGAUUAGCAAGAUGAGGCCUUUUGGGUCUCGUG